rnacentral:precursor_RNA from 8 species
CACACAUCUACUGAAUCUCUUCCGAUUGGCAUAGGAACAUGGAAGAUUGUCAGUCAUCAUCUAUUUCUGCCAAUUUUCCAUGUUCCUGUGCCAGUCAUCAGAGAGAAAGCAACAUAUAUAC